UACAGAGGGUGCAAGCGUUAAUCGGAAUUACUGGGCGUAAAGCGUGCGCAGGCGGUUCGCUGUGUCCUGUGUGAAAGCCCCGGGCUUAACCUGGGAAUGGCAUGGGAAACUGGCGGGCUGGAGUGUGGCAGAGGGGGGUGGAAUUCCGCGUGUAGCAGUGAAAUGCGUAGAGAUGCGGAGGAACACCGAUGGCGAAGGCAGCCCCCUGGGCUAACACUGACGCUCAGGCACGAAAGCGUGGGGAGCAAACAGG
rnacentral:rRNA from 1 species